rnacentral:rRNA from 1 species
CGUACACUCCUGCGGGAGGCAGCAGUGGGGAAUAUUGCACAAUGGGCGCAAGCCUGAUGCAGCCAUGCCGCGUGUAUGAAGAAGGCCUUCGGGUUGUAAAGUACUUUCAGCGGGGAGGAAGGCGAUAAGGUUAAUAACCUUGUCGAUUGACGUUACCCGCAGAAGAAGCACCGGCUAACUCCGUGCCAGCAGCCGCGGUAAUACGGAGGGUGCAAGCGUUAAUCGGAAUUACUGGGCGUAAAGCGCACGCAGGCGGUCUGUCAAGUCGGAUGUGAAAUCCCCGGGCUCAACCUGGGAACUGCAUUCGAAACUGGCAGGCUAGAGUCUUGUAGAGGGGGGUAGAAUUCCAGGUGUAGCGGUGAAAUGCGUAGAGAUCUGGAGGAAUACCGGUGGCGAAGGCGGCCCCCUGGACAAAGACUGACGCUCAGGUGCGAAAGCGUGGGGAGCAAACAGGAUUAGAAACCCUUGUAGUCC